GUAACGGCGAGUGAAGCGGCAACAGCUCAAAUUUGAAAUCUGGCCCCCCGGCCCGAGUUGUAAUUUGCAGAGGAUGCUUUUGGUGAGGCACCUACCGAGUCCCCUGGAAUGGGGCGCCAUAGAGGGUGAGAGCCCCGUAUGGUAGGACGCCGAACCUCUGUAAAGCUCCUUCGACGAGUCGAGUAGUUUGGGAAUGCUGCUCUAAAUGGGAGGUAAAUUUCUUCUAAAGCUAAAUACCGGCCAGAGACCGAUAGCGCACAAGUAGAGUGAUCGAAAGAUGAAAAGCACUUUGAAAAGAGGGUUAAAAAGUACGUGAAAUUGUUGAAAGGGAAGCGCUUGUGACCAGACUUGCGCCGGGCGGAUCAUCCAGCGUUCUCGCUGGUGCACUCCGCCCGGUUCAGGCCAGCAUCGGUUUUCGCCGGGGGACAAAGGCUUCGGGAACGUGGCUCCUUUCGGGGAGUGUUAUAGCCCGUUGCGUAAUACCCCGGCGGGGACCGACGACCGCGCUUCGGCAAGGAUGCUGGCGUAAUGGUCAUCAGCGACCCGUCUUGAAACACGGACCGAGGAGUCAAGCAUUAGUGCGAGUGUUUGGGUGUAAAACCCGCACGCGUAAUGAAAGUGAACGUAGGUGAGAGCUUCGGCGCAUCAUCGACCGAUCCUGAUGUUUUCGGAAGGAUUUGAGUAGGAGCAUUAACGCUUGGACCCGAAAGAUGGUGAACUAUACUUGAAUAGGGUGAAGCCAGAGGAAACUCUGGUGGAGGCUCGCAGCGGUUCUGACGUGCAAAUCGAUCGUCAAAUUUGAGUAUAGGGGCGAAAGACUAAUCGAACCAUCUAGUAGCUGGU
rnacentral:rRNA from 1 species